rnacentral:tRNA from 1 species
AGGGAUGUAGUUAAUUAUAACAUUUAAUUUGCAAUUAAAAAGUAUCUUUUAGAUCUUCCUUA